rnacentral:ncRNA from 1 species
GCAGAGUAGGUUUGGCGCGUUAAGUGUUGCAGAAUGGGAUGUCGUCUGCAAACGAAAACAAAAUUGUUGCGGUGCCAAGCCGCGUCCGUUG